UGUUUAGUCAUGCAAGUUUAG
rnacentral:miRNA from 1 species